rnacentral:rRNA from 1 species
UACAGAGGUCUCGAGCGUUAAUCGGAUUUACUGGGCGUAAAGGGCGCGUAGGCGGCAAUUCAAGUCAGCUGUGAAAUCUCCGGGCUUAACUCGGAACGGUCAGCUGAUACUGCUUUGCUAGAGUGCAGAAGGGGCAAUCGGAAUUCUUGGUGUAGCGGUGAAAUGCGUAGAUAUCAAGAGGAACACCUGAGGUGAAGACGGGUUGCUGGGCUGACACUGACGCUGAGGCGCGAAAGCUAGGGUAGCAAACGGG